CAGACAGUCCAGCCACUGCCUCCAUUCCCUCUCGCCAAGCCCAUUGCAGCACUACUCCAGCCACUGCUUCCAUUCACUUCAAUCCUCCAUUCCUCCAUCAGACAAUCAGUCCAUCACCGGUCACUCAAGGUCCAGCCGCCUCCACCGCAGCUUAUCCAGUCGCCACUGCCUCCUCCACGGCUCCACCACACCUUCGACGGUCGCCUGUCACAACUCCACUGCUCCAGUCACUGCCUCCAAAUCUCCAAUCCUCCAUCAGACCAUCAUCUCCUCCAGCCACAGCCUCCAAAGCUCUAGCCGCCUCUACCGUAGUUUCGGCGGUCGCCACUGCCUCCUCCACCACAGCUCCGCCGGUCACCACUGCCUCCUCUACCACAGCUUCCCCGGUCGACGGUCACAACUACAGGCUUGCAGGCAUUGGGAGAUACAAAGUCAACAAAUGGAGAUAUGAAAAGAAAUCAAAUAAGAAAUACAAACAGUAAGAAAAGCUCAUGUAUGGUUUUAAAUCUUAUUCUCACAUUUGGUUUUGAUUUGUUGCCUAAAGUUGUCUGUUAGAUAUGCCUAUAUAGUUAGCCUUACAUUAAAAGGCAAAAUCACUAUUAUAAGAUACUCAAUACAAAUAAAUAGAUCCACUGCACCUUUAAUUUCUCUAUUUUUCAAUCUGUGAUUUGUUGAAUGCAAUCACAUUGAAUUAACUACUAAUAUACUAUGAUGAUUCUGGAUGAGUCCAGAUGAACUUGAAGAGUUGAAGACAUGGAGAUGGAGGAAGAAGAUUGUGAAGAUUGAAAAAUGUAUAAUUGAAAGAUUUUAUUAUAUUGUUAUUGUAUUUUUAUGUAAUCAUGUUCAUUGGAGAUGUGGACAUUUUUUAGUUUGUUUUUGCUAUUUUGGAUUGUAUUUUGAAUUUCUGUAGUUUGUAUGUUAUUAAAAAUACUUGAAUGUUAAUUCUUAGAACUAUAGUUUUUAAA